UAGGGAAUCUUCCGCAAUGGACGCAAGUCUGACGGAGCAACGCCGCGUGAGUGAAGAAGGAUUUCGGUUCGUAAAACUCUGUUGUUAGAGAAGAACAGCGCAUAGAGUAACUGUUAUGCGUGUGACGGUAUCUAACCAGAAAGCCACGGCUAACUACGUGCCAGCAGCCGCGGUAAUACGUAGGUGGCAAGCGUUGUCCGGAUUUAUUGGGCGUAAAGCGAGCGCAGGCGGUCAAUUAAGUCUGAUGUGAAAGCCCCCGGCUCAACCGGGGAGGGUCAGUGGAAACUGGUUGACUUGAGUGCAGAAGAGGAGAGUGGAAUUCCAUGUGUAGCGGUGAAAUGCGUAGAUAGAUGGAGGAACACCAGUGGCGAAGGCGACUCUCUGGUCUGUAACUGACGCUGAGGCUCGAAAGCGUGGGUAGCAAACAGG
rnacentral:rRNA from 1 species